rnacentral:lncRNA from 1 species
AAACUGUAACGGUGAUAAGGAUUUCUACGUGCUUGGCAUUAAAAAAAAAAAAAGAUCAUUUUCGAGUAGCGUCUCCCGCGCUAAACUGACGAUGAGUAAUGCAAUGCAGCUGUGCUGACGUCAACAUAGGUGCAUUGUGUACGCCCCUCCCACGAAACCUCCUCUC